rnacentral:rRNA from 1 species
UACGAAGGGGGCUAGCGUUGUUCGGAAUUACUGGGCGUAAAGAGCGCGCAGGCGGCCAUUUAAGUUAGAUGUGAAAGCCCCGGGCUUAACCUGGGAACUGCAUUUAAUACUGAAAGGCUAGAGUGUGAUAGGGAGAGGCGGAAUGGCGAGUGGAGCAGUGAAAUGCGUUGAUAUUCGUUGGAACACCGGAGGCGAAGGCGGCCUCUUGGAUCACUACUGACGCUGAGGCGCGAAAGCGUGGGGAGCAAACAGG